rnacentral:lncRNA from 1 species
CACAUACUGAGUACAAUGGAGAAAUCGCCCCCGAAAAACACCAACUUCAUGGCCGUAUUUUCUCCUGUUACGUGGCCACAGAGUGCAUGUGCUAUGAGGGACCCGUCCGACAUAUACCCUCCCAGAAGAGCAGGAAAGGGGGUUCAUAAAGAUGUUCUUCUGAUGGGGAGUGUCCUAUAAGGCCACCUUCACAUGGGAGGAUCGCAGCGCAUUUCGGCCAAGACAGGUGAGACUGCGGUUCUGACCUGCGGGCCUCGAUGAAUUGCGUUAGGACACCUGGGCUCCGGGAGAGCCGUUCCACUCCGCAAAGUAAGCGUGUUAUGUCUACAACCCAACGGGGACGCGCUAAGAGCCCCAAAGGCCCUGCUUUCAUCCCAAAGAACAGCCCCCGCCUGCGUAGUUUGUACCCGGCUCUAUGAGGUGAGAACACAUUCCCCGAUAGCACAGAAAUCCUACAAACUCCUGAGGGGGCUGCGGCUAGAAGCAGACGCUGUGUGAAAUGUGACUGGAGGUUAGGGAAAAACACGUAGAUUUUCACAGACCCUGAGAACCCAAGAGACUGCAGACCAUGGACAGACAAAUCUCUGCAAAAAGCAGCCCCGCGUAGAUAAAGGAAGAGCUGUGCGGCCUUCGCGCUAGCUAGCUUGUGUAAAGGUCGACGCUUCUUAUUUCUCCCGAGGCGGGGAGAAAGCGACAUAUUACUACUAUUCCUCAACCUCCGACUGUGAGAGAAACGAUUAAGAGUAAAGCACAAGCCAGUAAAAAAAACAAGUAACCCUCGCCGUGCAGACUGUUCUUUAAACUACAAAAAUCAGG